UUUGCUGUCUGCUAGCAGAACAGGAGAACGGUCUAGCGUUGGAUACCGGAUGUGCAGAAAUGCACCCGAUGGCUAACUUCAGUGCGCGCUGUGUUUAUCGAGUAAAAUUUCAUGCCGCGAAGUUGCUUGACGGGUGCAACCGAUGAUGCAACUCCCAAAAUCGAAAAAUUCCUAGACGAUUGUUCGUCUGCUGCGGUCUGCUGCUAGCUGCUCCCGAUUAUUGAGUGCUGAGUUUUAUUAUUAAGUGAGUAACAGUACUUGAUCUAAUUAAUUCGAUUUCAACUGUUUGUCCUAAAAAGAAAGUUGUGUAAAGAAUUAGAAUUUGUGUACAUUUCUUGAGAUGAUUUCGCUGAGUCUCGGAGACAAAUCUUUCUCUAUUAGCCAACUAUGUUUGUCGUAUAUGUAUUUCUUUUUUGAAUGAUUCGUUUCCUGCAGUCACUUCCUGAGUCUGGUACUUAAGACUCAUUGGAAAAGAACUCCAUGACGAAUAAACUCCUGGCAGGAAGAUGUGUGACACCGUUGCUUCAUCAGAAGUAGAAAUUGUGCAAGGAAAGGAUUGCAGUUCUGAGAAAGUGUUGCUGUUCAGUCUGUCAGCUAAGAAAAAUACUGUGCACGAUUUGGGUAUGACGUCUAACAGUUUUGCUGUUCACGGUGGUUCAGUCAAGUUUAAAAAAGGACUGAUGAAGUGAAUUCAAUCGUGUCACCAAUUUCUGAAAAGCUAUAUGAUGCACAUAAUGCAUAUUCCAUUAUUGGAGUUGUAAUUUGAUUUUAUAUACCAUAAGGACUAGAUUUAGCUUAUAACAUGACGAUAAAAAAUCAUCCUCUAUGUGAUUUAAUCAAAGUAUUUGGAACUUGCGAAAGAAACUCUUGUCCUUACAGGUAUUGCAUAAUAUCAAAGGUGGAUACUCCAACAUUGAACGUGACUAUAGGAGACGAGCUAAAGUUGGAAAUUAAUCAUGUACAUCAUGCCUCACACUUUUCAGCUCGAGUACAUUAAUUUACAAGAAAGAAUGAAAUUACAGGAAAAAAAAAACCUGAAAAGGAUUACGCAAGAGUACAAGUACAAAGUAUUGUUGAGAAAGAUAUUAAAACAGAUAAACCAAAGAAAGUACGAGUUCAAUGUUGGAUGAUGGACAAAUAUUUCCACAAGUUUAUCCAAGGUUUCAGAGUUUUUUCAAUUGCCACAAGAACUACUUAAAUAUAAAUGUACAGUCUUGAUAUCUUCUUAACUGGUAUUGCACCAUUUGAUCGUGAGUAUGAGUGGACUAAUCUUGCUACUAACGUAACCAAGCAAUGGGAAAAUAAAAACUGCAAUAAUGAGCAAGACAAGUAUGCUUAUGUUGAGGUACCAGAUUAUAUUGGACUGAAACUGAAAAGAAUAACGUAGCGAUGUCACAUUCGAGGCCAUAUUCGCUACAGAUAUGCAAAUGAUUGUACAUGGAUAAAUAAAUAAAUCGAAAUUAUUUCUCUGUCCCAAUGGAACUGUCUUUAUUGAAUAAAAGUUGAUUCUGACAUUCGAUAUUUUAACCUCAGGUUCAGAGUCCAGAUACCUAUUAAGUCCAACAACAAUCGUAUCCUUUUGCGCACUCAAUCAUUAGGCAGCGUAGAAACUUAACAGCCGGGAGCGUCUUCCCACGAUGGCUCGUCUAUCGAUAGUCGCGAGUCUGCUGAUGGCUGCAGUAGUAGCCGCAACUGCGGCGUUCACCCUUUGUCUAAACCGAGAGAAUAAGUAGUUUGAAAUAUCCUUUGAUCCGGCUCCUUCGCAGCCUAGUUCUUAGCAACAGCAAAGAGCUAUCAGAAGAACUCGCCACACUCCAAUUAUCAUAGGACCGCCGUUGAAAGAUCGAGCGCCACCGGUACGCAGUGACUUUAUUCCAUUAAAUAGGAGAGUGAGGGAGCAGCUGUAAGCACAACACCCACAUCAAAUGUUACCGCCACCGCCACCUCAGCCAAUGUCCCAGCAGCAGCAGCAAACACAGGUGAAGGAAAUCCAACAACAAAUGCAGGUUUAACGACCUCCGAUACCCCACAUUUGCUUCGUAGAAAACCGCGUACUUGAGAUCUCUGCGGAGUCUAAACCUUUACGGGGAUCUCAAGGAAAUGGUAACGAAACCAUAAUUCCGUUAAAUUCAUCUACAAAUCACACGGUCGUCCAACCAGACAAAUAUCAGCCGUAUAGGCAAGUGACGAAACCUUUUGAAAUGUAGGACUUUUACAAGUACAUUCAACGAAGUUACGUAAAAGUGUGAAAGUCAACGCCAUGAGUGAUCAGCAGCAACAACAGGAAUUACGACAGCCUCCUGUCAACCUAAAUACUCAAAAGGAUCAAAACCAGUCAAACAAUUCGAUUCAAAGAAUACCUCAACCAGUGCAACGCAAUACUUGUCCGCCUUAUACCUUGAGAUAAUAGCUGUCCUUGUCUUCAUAAAUUAAAUGAGUAAUUUUAAUAGAACGAGUGACUAUCAAUUACUGUGAAAAUACUAUUUUUAUAUCUGAAUAAUGUAUUUAAUAUUUUAUUAAAGUGAAAUACGAGCUAUUAUAUUUUAAGCUAAGAAUAUAGGAAAACAGUGUAAAUUUAUAUUUAGUAAAUAGAAGUUCGCUUUAUAAGUAUAAGGCUGAGUUAUUCUAAGAAAGCCACUUUUGUAAAAUGAUUGAUCAGUCACCUGACGAAAUAAAGAAGCGAACGAUAUACUCUUA